GAACUCGUGGUGUACUGGUUACCACAUCUGUCUCACAUGCAGAAUGACAGGGGUUCGAGUCCGCCCGAGAUCA
rfam:Angiostrongylus costaricensis strain Costa Rica genome assembly, scaffold: ACOC_scaffold0002491